CCUACGGGUGGCAGCAGUGAGGAAUAUUGGUCAAUGGACGCAAGUCUGAACCAGCCAUGCCGCGUGCAGGAAGACGGCUCUAUGAGUUGUAAACUGCUUUUGUACGAGGGUAAACGCAGAUACGCGUAUCUUUCUGAAAGUAUCGUACGAAUAAGGAUCGGCUAACUCCGUGCCAGCAGCCGCGGUAAUACGGAGGAUUCAAGCGUUAUCCGGAUUUAUUGGGUUUAAAGGGUGCGUAGGCGGUCGUAUAAGUUAGAGGUGAAAUCCCGAGGCUCAACUUCGGAAUUGCCUUUGAUACUGUUCGGCUAGAGAGUAGUUGCGGUAGGCGGAAUGUAUGGUGUAGCGGUGAAAUGCUUAGAGAUCAGACAGAACACCGAUUGCGAAGGCAGCUUACCAAGCUACUUCUGACGUUGAGGCACGAAAGCGUGGGGAGCAAACAGGAUUAGAUACCCCAGUAGUC
rnacentral:rRNA from 1 species